CCUACAGAUGGUCAGCUCGUCCCUGGUGACCAGCUUAUGAAGAUCAAUAACGUCGCUGUCAAUGACCUGACCCCAGAGCAAGCUGCUGAAAUAAUCAGGUCUACACCAACAGACACACGUCUGAUUAUUGGGAGUGUCAGGAUACAUUGGCAAUGAUAGUUCUCAGAACAAUGCUAAGCCCUCAGAGUUGACUGACACAGUGCUAACAGGUCCUGAACUCUCCCCAUCCCUGGUUCACAUGAUUCAGAAGUGGAAAUCACGACUGAUACGAGGAACAAGAGGUGUUGUGAGUCAGUGUCACAGUGUCACAGCACUGGACGUUGAAAUAUGCAUUUAACCCUCAUCUUGUGUUCGGGACCCGUUUUCAUUUUUCAUCGGAAGAAAAAUUAUACGAUUAAUUAUUUUUUCAAGCUCAGACCCUUUGGCCUUGGCUCAUUUUUUGUCAAGAACAUAUACCAGAACACAUUUUCAAUGACCACACACUGUACACCCCCCCUACACAUUGAUAUUACAUACAGGAUGCCCGGGUUCACUGGACAGGGGUAAUAAAAGUGUGUCUUGCAUAAUUCAAGCAGCUACAUCUGCUGUCACAUUGAAGGCCCUGCACAUUUUAGCACAUGUAUUGUGGCCUAACAGUGUUGCAUAAUAUAUUUUUUCACUUAUAUCUUUAUUAUAAUUGAUUUUCUCACCAAAAAUUUCAGUGGAUUCACUGGAGCCACAAACACUGGCUGAGUUACAAAAGUGUAACACCCACAAGGGUUAAAUCAAUGAUAUAUUAGCAAUAAACCAGGUGCCAGCUGGGAUACAUGUGAUAUGUAAU